AUAAAUGGUUUAACCCUCUUUAAUAGCUGUUAGGAUGCGAGUAUAAAUAAUUGCUUUUAAUUCUGUGCCAUUAUUUCGCUUCGUUCUCCGCAUCACAACAGUAAAUUCGCAAUAUUUUGGCAUAUUACUCGUGUAGCCUUCCCGACUUGUCCGGUUAUAUAAUCGAUUAGUCACGGUCGAUUUCAUUAAUUUUCAUAAACAAAUUUGUUCAAGUUGUCCGCCGUAACCCCCCAAACUCUCUCGUUCACCCCUGCUCCUCUUGGCCAUGUAUUGUAAAUAAAUGCAAUUUGCUACGCAAAAAAUAAAACUCAAGAAAAGACCUUUUGUGCUUGACUUCUGAAUCUGCUGCAGCUGAGCAAUUAUGUAAUUUUUAAUAGCCGUCAUCGGAGGCCAAAAGCGUUGUUGAAGAGCAACCCUCGGCCGGAAAAGUGAUGAAAAGCGAUGUAAAAUUUGUGAAAAUAUUUUAUUUUCAUAAUAAAGGAGGCAAAAGUA
rnacentral:sRNA from 1 species